UGCAGUCGAACGAUCCCUUCGGGGAUAGUGGCAAACGGGAGAGUAACACAUUGGUACCUACCCUUGAGUCGAGCAUAACUCCGCGAAAGCGGGGCUAAUUCUCGAUAGUCUCUACGGAGUAAAGAUUUUUCGCUCAAGGAAGGGCCUAUGUCUCAUCAGCUUGUUGGUAGGGUAAUGGCCUACCAAGGCAAUGACGAGUAGCGGGCGUGAGAGCGUGGCCCGUCUCACUGGGACUGAGACACUGCCCAGACUCCUACGGGAGGCUGCAGUCGAGAAUCUCCACAAUGGACGAAAGUCUGAUGGAGCGACGCCGCGUGCAGGAAGACGCCCCUCGGGGUGUAAACUGCUUUUAUCAGGGACGAAUUCGUGACGGUACCUGAUGAAUAAGGGGCUGCUAAACUCGUGCCAGCAGCAGCGGUAAUACGAGUGCCCCGAGCGUUAUCCGGAUUUAUUGGGCGUAAAGCGUGAAUAGGUGGUUUGAUAAGUCUUUGGUGAAAGACUAGGGCUCAACUCUAGGAACGCCAAAGAUACUGUCAGACUUGAGGCUGGGAGAGGUAAGCGGAAUUGCCGGUGAAGGGGUCAAAUCCGUUGAUAUCGGCAGGAACACCAAAGGCGAAGGCAGCUUACUGGAACAGUUCUGACACUAAUUUCACGAAAGCGUGGGGAGCGAAGAGGAUUAGAUACCCUCGUAGUCCACGCCGUAAACGAUGAAUGCUAGCCAUUGGUAGUAUCGACCCUAUCAGUGGCGUUUACAAAAGCUAACGCGUUAAG
rnacentral:rRNA from 1 species